GCACCCUAUGUAAGUAUAAGUCGCUCUGUUACUAAUUUACUAUUAGCAGUAGAAACAAACAAACGAACAAACUAGAAAGCAAAAUGCGAUGGCGGCAAUGCGAUCCGGUCAGAGCCUGGCGGUGCUAACUCGAGCGUUGAUCACUCGCUCCAUGGAGUCGUCUCGGGGAGCCACUCGCUACUUGAGCGGAGGCAAAGGCAAAGUCCUCAGCCAGUAGGAGUGCGCCGCCGAGAAUGUCUACAUCCAGAGAAAGGAGAGGGAAAGAUUGGAGAAGCAGAAAGCUGAGAAGGAAAAGGCCGAGAAAGCCAAAGAAAAUGCUGAUCAGACUGCAGGUUAUCAAUUUCGUAGUCGGGAUUAACUGCAUAAACUUGAUGGCCGGGGCUGAUAAGGCGGGGCCAUUUAAAACGUAAACAUACUGUUGUCUUUCAAGAUCUAAAGAACAGUUGAAUAAGAGGAGUUGGCCGGAAUUGGAAGCUCGAGAACGGUCUCUUGUUUCUCAUUGCAUGACAUGACAAACCCAGGAUAGCCACAAUGAUCUGGGUGUCUAUCUUUGAGGAUGAAAGGGAAACGGAUAGGCCGGCCUUGAUCCCCGCACUUCAAUUCUUUGCAGCCAUUCUGAGUUUCCCAAGCACUUUGGAGAAAGCUAUUAACAAUAUGCAAAAGGAAGAGAUGAGUAUUUCCUUCAUUUCUGAGCAGAAUAAAAAAAAGGGUAUUCACGCCAUUCACGAGCAGGCAGGAAAAGUCGAAAAGCCCUGUAAGUCCUUCAACAGUAGUGGGAAUUUUUG